rnacentral:rRNA from 1 species
CCUUGGUCCGUCUUUCAAGAGGUGGAAGAAAGCCAUUUGACAGGAUCUAGAGCGCACGGGGAAUGCAAGGCAAAUAAACGAUAACACAACCGCCACAGCAUGCUGUCACAGACAUGAUCACGCAUAUAAAACCGUACAAACCAAGGUGCACUAAUGCCUCGGUCCGAACCACGACAUGCCACAGGGUUGCUGACAAUCCAAAAGGACCUACCUCAACCCUGGGAAUCUCCCGCGGAACAAACCCAUCCUGACCAGCCCAUGGGACACAGCGCGCACUACCCCUCAAGGCAGCACGAAAUAUGACCCCCGGCAUACACUGACUUCCUUCGCUUCCCUUUCAGCAAUUUCAGGUACUGUUUAACUCUCUUUCCAAAGUUCUUUUCAUCUUUCCCUCACGGUACUUGUUCGCUAUCGGUCUCCCACCAAUAUUUAGCUUUAGAUGGAAUUUACCACCCGCUUAGAGCUGCAAUCCCAAGCAACUCGACUCGUUGAAAACGGCCCGUACACACGCGACACCCCAGGCAUGAACCGGAUUGUCACCGUCCACGAUGCCCCGUUCCAGGGGACUUUGCCAGGGGGCGCGGCUGGACACGCUUCUGUAGACUACAAUUCGGGGUAACGAAACGUCACCCAGAUUUACAUCAUGAGCUGUUCCCGCUUCACUCGCCGUUACUAGGGAAUCCGAGUUGUUUCUUUUCCUCUG